ensembl:rRNA 5S_rRNA 5S ribosomal RNA
GUCUACGGCCACACCACCCUGAACACGCCUGAUCUUGUCUGAUCUUCGAAGCUAAGCAAGGUCGGGCCUGGUUAGUACUUGGAUAGGAGAAAUUUGGUUUAGGCU